UACGUAGGGUGCGAGCGUUAAUCGGAAUCACUGGGCUUAAAGGGUGCGUAGGCUGGUUGCCAAGUCUGUGGUGAAAUCCUCCGGCUUAACCCGGAGAACUGCCGUGGAUACUGGCGACCUCGAGUGGGUAGGGGCUUGCGGAACUGUGCGUGGAGCGGUGAAAUGCGUUGAUAUGCACAGGAACUCCGGUGGCGAAGGCGGCGAGCUGGACCCUAACUGACGCUGAGGCACGAAAGCCAGGGAGCGAACGGG
rnacentral:rRNA from 1 species